GAUCAGUAUUGUGUGCCAAUUUGUACGCGAUAAGGAAGGUAUAGGAUCAGUAUUUUGUGUGCCAAUUUGUACGCGAUAAGGAAGGUAUAGGAUCAGUAUUGUGUGCGCCAAUUUGUACGCGAUAAGGAAGGUAUAGGAUCAGUAUUGUGUGCGCCAAUUUGUACGCGAUAAGGAAGGUAUAGGAUCAGUAUUGUGUGCGCCAAUUUGUACGCGAUAAGGAAGGUAUAGGAUCAGUAUUUUGUGCGCCAAUUUGUACGCGAUAAGGAAGGUAUAGGAUCAGUAUUUUGUGCGCCAAUUUGUACGCGAUAAGGAAGGUAUAGGAUCAGUAUUUUGUGCGCCAAUUUGUACGCGAUAAGGAAGGUAUAGGAUCAGUAUUGUGUGCGCCAAUUUGUACGCGAUAGAAAGAAAUCGAAAACGAGGGCGAUGUCUACCCCGAACGAAACUCUCUAGCAGAACACAAGGAGGCAAUUUACCUGUCAAUAUACCUGCAGCGCUAAGUGUCAGGUGAAGCCAACAGGUGUGAGAUGCUCGAUAUGAGAUAGCCGCCGCCAAGCAGUUCUAUGUACGGCAGGAGGAAUAGAGGUGACACUCCUGAGGCUGCUGGGAAACUAAACCGACGAGACCUCUGCAAGCACGUGAGAC